UGAUUUAGCCGUAAAUGCAUCUCACAGUAAAAACAGAAUGAACAAAGAUUUCAGAAAAUUCAGUUUGCCAUGAUGAUAACUGCACGUAUGUGCCUAGAUCUACUCUAGCAUACUUGUCAAUUUGCUCUGCAUGUUGCUUACAUUGCUGGUUUUGUGUUGUUAAGGUUGACAAAGCAUUUGAAAACGUGAAACCUGCAUCGGUGCCUUUGUUGACUCCAAUGUGUCAAAAGUAAAUUCCUUGCUGUUUUUUGAAGUCUCGUCGGAGGUUCGACAGUGCCUUCAAAGAAUGUCAUUGAAGUGUGUUUGGUGUGUGAAUAACAUUUUUGAUGCCAUGUGUCGUCUGUCUGUGCAUGGGGUGUGACAUUGUCAAGAGUGAAAUGUCAUAAAUUAGUGCAAUCUGUUUUGAAAAUCUUAUUAUUA